rnacentral:rRNA from 1 species
GAAUCCCACAGGCCGUAAACCCAAGGUUUCCAGGGGAAGGUUCGUCCGCCCUGGGUUAGUCGGGACCUAAGCUGAGGCCGAAAGGCGUAGGGGAUGGACAACAGGUUGAUAUUCCUGUACUACCGAUAACCGUUUGAGAGAAGGGAUGACACAGUAGGAUAAGCUAAGCACACUGUUGGUUAUGUGUGCCCAAGCAUUGAGGCAGUCAAAGUAGGCAAAUCCGCUUUGAUAAUGCUGGGAUGUGAUGGGGAGCGAAAUUUAGUAGCGAAGUAGCUGAUUUCACACUGUCAAGAAAAGUCUCUAUCGAGGUUAAAGGUACCCGUACCGCAAACCGACACAGGUGGGUGAGGAGAGUAUCCUAAGGCCAGCGAGAGAACUGUUGUUAAGGAACUCGGCAAAAUGACCCCGUAACUUAGGGAUAAGGGGUGCCACCAUCAGGUGGCCGCAGAGAAUAGGCCCAAGCGACUGUUUACCAAAAACAUAGGUUUCUGCUAAGUCGCAAGACGAUGUAUAGGAGCUGACGCCUGCCCGGUGCUGGAAGGUUAAGGGGAUCUGUUAGAGCAAUCGAAGCAGUGAACUUAAGCCCCAGUAAACGGCGGCCGUAACUAUAACGGUCCUAAGGUAGCGAAAUUCCUUGUCGGGUAAGUUCCGACCCGCACGAAAGGCGUAACGAUUUGGGCACUGUC